GGCCAAUGCUGUGCUGCGCAGUUUGCCGGUACAGUGUUUGGUCAUCCGUAAGGGAAGCCAGUUCGGCCUUCACUGGUCGGCUGGGGGAACUUACAAUUUACUGUGAAAAAAUUAGAGUGUUUCAGGCAGGCAAUCGCUUGGAUACUCCAGCAUGGAAUAAUGGAAUAGGACUUUGGUCUAUUUAUUGGUUUGAGAUCAAAGUA
rnacentral:rRNA from 1 species